rfam:Gossypium arboreum cultivar AKA8401 contig_23121_5, whole genome shotgun sequence.
AUUCCAUGAUGGGGGAUUUUUGGUAAUAAUUCUUGAAUCUCUCCUAUGCCUCAUAUAAAGAUUCAUCAUCCAUUUGUUGGAAAGUAAUGGUCUUGUUUCGCAACU